UACGUAGGUGGCAAGCGUUGUUCGGAAUUAUUGGGCGUAAAGGGCGCGUAGGCGGUUUGUUAAGUCGGCUGUGAAAGCCCGGGGCUCAACCCCGGAGGGUCAGCCGAUACUGGCAGACUAGAGUACGGAAGAGGUAGCUGGAAUUCCCGGUGUAGCGGUGAAAUGCGUAGAGAUCCGGCGGAACACCGGUGGUGAAGGCGGUCUCCUGGGCCGAGGGCCGACGCUGAUGCGCGAGAGCGUGGGGAGCGAACCGG
rnacentral:rRNA from 1 species